rnacentral:rRNA from 1 species
GGAGCCUGAGAAACGGCUACCACAUCCAAGGAAGGCAGCAGGCGCGCAAAUUACCCAAUCCCGACACGGGGAGGUAGUGACAAUAAAUACUGAUACAGGGCUCUUUUGGGUCUUGUAAUUGGAAUGAGUACAAUUUAAACCUCUUAACGAGGAACAAUUGGAGGGCAAGUCUGGUGCCAGCAGCCGCGGUAAUUCCAGCUCCAAUAGCGUAUAUUAAAGUUGUUGCAGUUAAAAAGCUCGUAGUUGAAACUUGGGCCUGGCUGGCAGGUCCGCCUCACCGCGUGUACUUGUCCGGCCGGGCCUUUCCUUCUGGAGAACCUCAUGCCCUUCACUGGGUGUGUUGGGGAACCAGGACUUUUACUUUGAAAAAAUUAGAGUGUUCAAAGCAGGCCUUUGCUCGAAUACGUUAGCAUGGAAUAAUAGAAUAGGACGUGCGGUCCUAUUUUGUUGGUUUCUAGGACCGCCGUAAUGAUUAAUAGGGACAGUCGGGGGCAUCAGUAUUCAAUUGUCAGAGGUGAAAUUCUUGGAUUUAUUGAAGACUAACUACUGCGAAAGCAUUUGCCAAGGAUGUUUUCAUUAAUCAGUGAACGAAAGUUAGGGGAUCGAAGACGAUCAGAUACCGUCGUAGUCUUAACCGUAAACUAUGCCGACUAGGGAUCGGGCGAUGUUCUUUUUCUGACUCGCU